rnacentral:rRNA from 1 species
CGCGUAGGCGGUUUUACAAGUCUGGUGUGAAAUAUCUCAGCUCAACUGAGAAGACGCGCUGGAAACUGUAAGACUAGAAUCUAGGAGGGGAAGCUGGAAUUCCUGGUGUAGGGGUGAAAUCUGUAGAUAUCAGGAAGAACACCGGUGGCGAAGGCGAGCUUCUGGCCAUAGAUUGACGCUGAGGCGCGAAAGCGUGGGGAGCGAACAGGAUUAGAUACCCUGGUAGUCC